rfam:TPA: Bos taurus chromosome 14, whole genome shotgun sequence.
UCCCUGGUGGCUCAGGCGCUAAAGCUUCUGCCUGCAAUACGGGAGACCCAGGUUCGAUUCCUGGGUUGGGAA